UGUUCUGUGUAUGAAGAUCAUUUACAUAGAGAGACACUUUGCAUGAGAGUGUUUAUAGUGCUGUGAGUUUAACACUUCAUGACUGAGAGCAGAACAGAACAGAAUCUUCAUCAUCACACAAGGCAAAACAACAACAAUGAACAACAUCAUCAUCCUCAUUUGGACACUCACACUGUUUGCUCAAGAGUGUAGAGGACAGUACACUGUUACUCAGAGUCCAUCAAUAACAGCAGCUCAAGGACAAGAAGUCAGAAUAAACUGUAAAGUCAGCAGUAGAGUGUAUAAUGGUGAUUAUUUAGCCUGGUACUUACAGAAACCUGGAGAAGCUCCUAAACUCCUCAUAUAUCGUACAUCAAGCCGUAACACUGGAACUCCAUCUAGAUUCAGUGGCAGUGGAUCUGACACUGAUUUUACUCUGACCAUCAGUGGAGUCCAGACUGAAGAUACAGGAGAUUAUUACUGUCAGAGUGAACACUGUCCUAGUAGCUGUGUGUUCACACAGUGAUAAAGAGUCGUACAA